CCUAGGGCUUGGACAAAACGUCUAGAGCCACAGCAUUCCUAGCUGGCUCUCCCCUUGAACACUGAGCAGAAGGCUGGGGCUGAGGGAGGCAGAGUAGAGGGGAAGGCAGGCUGGAAGAGAGGCAGGGACAGGGAGAGACGAGGCCGGGGUAGGAGCUCCGAGACUGGGGGUGAGGGGGAUGAUGGGCCAGGGGGAAAAAGUGUGAAGGUGGGAGGGCGGAGUGGGUACAGCAACCUGGCUAAGGUGGGAGAAAGGUGAGGGACAGGGAGGCUGCGAUUUAAGGUGCCAUAGUAGGAAGAGGAAUGCUAGGCGGGUUGAAGACGAGGGACAAGGUGAGGAGAAAUGUCACAUGGAGGAGGAGGAGGAGGAGGAGGAGGAAGAGAAGGCCAGGACGGAAGAUAAAGGGGUGAAGAAGGACUGGGAGAAAGUCAUGUGAUUCUAGGCUGGAAGGGAUUUAAAUAAACAGAAAUACACAACUUUUCCUGCAUGGAAAAACUGUAUGAGUGUAGGAGGCUGAAGAAGAUGUCUCAAACAAGUAUAAGAAAUAUACUAGUCUGGAGGUGAAACAGGUAGCAAGAGAACAAAAAUGUUGGCAGAAAAAGAGUUCACUAUUCCAGCUUCAGGAGUGGAGAGUCUUUUUUUGUUGUUGCUUUUCCUGCCAUGGAUGUAAUGCUGCUUUGGACAGCGGCCGACGUCCAAUCAGACAACAGAACCGUCGGCUUUGUCAUAACGACAACCAUGACAUCACUGCAAGGGCUCGCGGAAAGAAGACAGCGGAGCUCCAGACAGACAGCGGGGCUCCACUGGGCUGCACGUCGGACAAAGCGAGCCGGCUGCCGGGUAGAAACGGCGCGGACUACCGGGGAUGGGGGAACACGCGGAGGGUGCCGUUUGGACGUUUCACGGCCGGCGUCGGGAGCUCUGUCCCGGACAAGUUGGGGCUUCCUCGCCGGGGGAAAGCGACAGGAAGAUAUGGAGGAGGUUGAAAUGGCAUCUUGUUUAAUUUCUGCCAAUCAAGACGAGAGGAGGACAACUCCCAAACUGGCAGUGCUGCUUCUGCCCUGA
ensembl:lncRNA